rnacentral:misc_RNA from 1 species
GAUUUUUUUUUUUUUUUUUUUCCAUUCAAAGAAAGUCCAUUGGAUCGGUAACAAUUGGUAAGCCACAUAGUGGGAGAGGCGAUAGCCUCAUCCCUUCAACAACUCUCACUAUAAGGUGAUAAAUCUCACAAUUGGUAGAUGAGGAGAAUCGAACUUAAAACAUUUCCAUUCCCAACACCUUUAAAGGGGAAGGAAGACCAACCAUGCUAAACCCUAAUUAACAAAUCUUUAUUUUUUUUUUAAUUGGUUUUCUUUAAUCUCACUUUCAUUUCCUUCUUUUCCUUCAUGUGAUUCAUCUUCUCACUUCCCUCAUUUACUUUCCUUACAACUACAGAGGACUUUUGGCAGGGUAGGCCAAGCCCAAAAAAGUUUUCUAAAUACUAAAUUGAGUUUUCUCACUGUCAAAGAGAGAGAGAGAGAGAG